AAAAAUAAUAUUUAAUCAUUAUUCAUUUAUUUUAUUAAAUAUUUAAUGUCUUUAGUCAACGACGUUAAUUUUAGACUUAUUUGAUCGACAUUGAGAGGUAAAGGGCCUAUUUAACUGUCAAUUUGUUUGGGGGCUUAUUUGAUUAUUUGAUUUUAGCUUAAGGGUCAAAAGAGGCUUUUUGUCUCUCUAUCUUUUUUUUUUAAGUAAAAUUAGAGCCCUAUGUAAUAU
rnacentral:misc_RNA from 1 species